CUUUGUAAACCUCUCAAUCUCUUUCAUUAUUUCUAUGUUGGAGGUAAGGGGACCAUCUGACCCUGACACGACCUAUGUGCUUGCUAAUAACGUGUAUUACUUGCUGCCAGUUGUCCAUGUGCACAGCUCUUUAAUGUCUCAGCUUCCCACAACACAACCAGAUCGUGUGGUUAACUGGUAUCCAAAUUUUCCGGUGGUCACCUGUUGUGAGCUGCAGUAAAAUAGAAGCUGCCACCUGUACAAGGUGUGGAGCCACCUCCGAAGAUUCGUUGAGUGAAAGAUAGUUACCAUCUGGAGCAGCCCCAAAGUGAAAGCAAAGCUUGCCCACCAAUGCACAGAGUAUUUCACUGUCUAAAGAAAUUGUCUCAUCAAAAAGGCUGACAUGGAGAUCAGUGUAGACUCGGACAGGCUCUGCGUUAUCUUCAAUAUCCAUAACACCAAAGUGACGUCUUGCUGAAUUGGAAGUCACUGUCUUUCCGAGCUACUGCAAGAACAAACAAGGUUUGAAAAUACUUUGAAAAAGAGGAUUAAUUUAUCUUCUUGUAGGAGUAAGUAAUUCCACUCCCUUUUUGUAACUACUAGUUUUCCCUAGAACACAGGCAGAAAAGUGUGAGAUGGC